GAAUCCCUCAUUGAGUGCCUCAGCAUACUUCUUUUGAGCUCUGAUUUUGAAGAUGUCGACAAGCAGGAGGCAAUCUUCUAUCACCGUGUUGCUACUGCUAGUACUCCUCCAACUCAUCGGUGCUCUCGCUCGACCUGCAUGCAACUAUCUUCGUCGGGAAAAUUGUCGCCGUAAAUAAACCAUGAACUGAAGUACGGAAAACGUGGGCAUGCUUGAUUUGUUGGGUUAGGUACAUAAUCGUCAUAUAGAUUGUUCGAUUUCCCAAGAAAUGAAAUGAAGUUGGAAAAAGUGUACCACUAGGAAUGAAGGUUUGGCCAGCUCUCUGGGAGUAACUUCAAGAUCACCAAGAUUAUGUAAUCAUAUUGUUAGCUCAUCGAAAAGUUUAAUGUCGCCUUC